AGCUUGCUAAGAAAACGCCUUUUUGAGGUCAAAGGAGGAAAAUUGACUCGCGGUUAUAAAUCGCAAGGUUGGGUAGUGGGAAUUUAUUCUGCGGCCAUAAACCACAGAGAAACGGCGUCAAUAAGCCUUUUGUUGCGAAGUCUGUUGAAUAAGCAGAAUACGAGAAAAGAGGUGUCUAAGGAGGCGUCUGAGGACAGUCGGGGGAUCCGCCUGUAAGACCAGGCCUGACAGGCAGGCCCCUCAAAACAUGGGCCCCUCGACAGGUGGGCCCCUCGACAGCUGCCCCCCCCCCCUUCACCCCGCCUCGUAGGGUGACCUCAGCCUCCUUACUGGUCGCAAAGGCAGCGUCACAGUUGGGUCCCGUUUCUCAGGCUGCGUGGAAAAAAGCUCAGCAAACCCUGUCCGUCGCAUCCCCUCGCUCGCUGUGAGCUGAAUUGAAAGUCUCUGAUAUAAACAAGACAGUUUUCCAAGUUUAGGUCAUUUCCUGGAGGCUUCAAAGCUAAACUGAACA